AACCAUUCCCCGGGGGACCGCUGAUGCAGCGGUUGAGAGGAAGGCCGCAGCCUUCGACCCGCUGAACCUGAUCCGGUUGACACCGGCGUAGGGAGGGAGGGUCUUGUUUCC
rfam:Sphingomonas sp. TDK1 TDK1_contig_7, whole genome shotgun sequence.